rnacentral:lncRNA from 1 species
AACUGAAUUGGGAGUAUGUUAUUAGUUGUUAUUAAUCAUACAUGUGGGACUUGGAUAAAACAUAGGAAAAACCAGCGUUCGGGACCUGGCAUAUGUUGAACUACCUGAUUUAGCCCUAGGGGCCGUUGUAUUUUUAUACUGUUGCAGUAUCUUCAUAGUGAGUAUCCCAGAUAGUUCAGAUUUCAGUUACGCUCGUGCUGGGAUGCUGAGCCGAUUUUUACAGUAGUGUUUACAGUGUUCCGGAUUAGUGGGUGCCGUAGUGGUUGAUGGCGGACCCGGAUUUGAUCGUUCCGAUAUCAGAUUGUGCCGAGGGCACGUGACUAGAGGUUGGUAGUACUAUUAGACCUGUUUUCUUGACUUUAGCCUGUGAGAGUCUGAUUGAGCUCGACAGAGAUACGCUUGCAUAUUCUGUUGGGUCGCGCCGACGAGUGCCGCUCCGGAGUCUGGCUUUGUGCUUUUGCGUUGAUGUCG